rnacentral:rRNA from 1 species
UACGAAGGGGGCUAGCGUUGUUCGGAAUUACUGGGCGUAAAGCGUAUGCAGGCGGACUUUUAAGUCGGGGGUGAAAUCCCGAGGCUCAACCUCGGAACUGCCUUCGAUACUGGAAGUCUUGAGUCCGGAAGAGGUGAGUGGAACUCCGAGUGUAGAGGUGAAAUUCGUAGAUAUUCGGAAGAACACCAGUGGCGAAGGCGGCUCACUGGCCCGGUACUGACGCUGAGAUACGAAAGCGUGGGGAGCAAACAGG